rnacentral:piRNA from 1 species
UUCCAAAUCUGUUUGACAGGAAUGCUCCGA